ensembl:miRNA
UUAGGUUGGUGCAAAAGUAAUUGCUGUUUUUGCCAUUGAAAGUAAUGGCAAAAACCACGAUAACUUUUGCACCUACCUAAUAAAA